rnacentral:rRNA from 2 species
UGCGGAGGGAUCAUUACCGAGUUAUUCAACUCAUCAACCCUGUGAACAUACCUAAACGUUGCUUCGGCGGGAAUAGACGGCCCCGUGAAACGGGCCGCCCCCGCCAGAGGACCCUUAACUCUGUUUCUAUAAUGUUUCUUCUGAGUAAAACAAGCAAAUAAAUUAAAACUUUCAACAACGGAUCUCUUGGCUCUGGCAUCGAUGAAGAACGCAGCGAAAUGCGAUAAGUAAUGUGAAUUGCAGAAUUCAGUGAAUCAUCGAAUCUUUGAACGCACAUUGCGCCCGCCAGUAUUCUGGCGGGCAUGCCUGUUCGAGCGUCAUUACAACCCUCAGGCCCCCGGGCCUGGCGUUGGGGAUCGGCGGAGCCUCUCUGUGGGCACACGCCGUCCCCCAAAUACAGUGGCGGUCCCGCCGCAGCUUCCAUCGCGUAGUAGCUAACACCUCGCGACUGGAGAGCGGCGCGGCCACGCCGUAAAACACCCAACUCUUCUGAAGUUGACCUCGAAUCAGGUAGGAAUACCCGCUGAACUUAAGCAUAUCAAUA